rnacentral:rRNA from 1 species
UACAGAGGGGGCAAGCGUUGUUCGGAAUUACUGGGCGUAAAGGGCGCGUAGGCGGCCUGCUAAGUCGAACGUGAAAUCCCUGGGCUCAACCCAGGAACUGCGUCCGAUACUGGUUGGCUUGAAUCCGGGAGAGGGAUGCGGAAUUCCAGGUGUAGCGGUGAAAUGCGUAGAUAUCUGGAGGAACACCGGUGGCGAAGGCGGCAUCCUGGACCGGUAUUGACGCUGAGGCGCGAAAGCCAGGGGAGCAAACGGGG